ensembl:snRNA U4 U4 spliceosomal RNA
AUCUUUGCGCAGAGGCAAUAUCAUAGCCCGUGAGGUUUAUCCGAGGCGUGAUUAUUGCUAGUUGAAAACUUUACCCAAUACCCCGUCUUGGACGACUUGAAAUAUAGUCGUCUAAGACAAUUUUUGAAAGUCUCUUCGGAGA